GAGUGGAUCGAAAUCAGUCAUUCAAUGGAUUCAUCUCGAUUUUCUUCUUCUUGUAGAUCUAACCCGUUCAUUGAUAGGGUGUCUAAAGAUUUCUUUUCCUUGACUAUGGUCGUAUCACAUUGUUGGGCCAAUUGCUAGUCUCCUCGCAUUUCACCAACUUCAUUUUUCAUCAAAAAUCGGAUGAGAAGAUGGUUAGUCAAGACAAUCACUCAUAAUGCAUUGAAUCCAGAUCCUCCCAAUAUAACAUUAUAGGCUGAAGGUACUUGGACUACAAGAAAAAUAAGAAGGAUGGUACUUUGUCAAGGUACCAGUCCCAUCAUUACUAGAAGAAUA
rnacentral:lncRNA from 1 species